rnacentral:rRNA from 1 species
UACGUAGGGUCCGAGCGUUGUCCGGAGUUACUGGGCGUAAAGGGCUCGUAGGCGGCCAACUAAGUCGGAUGUGAAAUCCCCAAGCUUAACUUGGGAACUGCAUCCGAUACUGGAUGGCUUGAAUCCGGGAGAGGGAUGCAGAAUUCCAGGUGUAGCGGUGAAAUGCGUAGAUAUCUGGAGGAAUACCGGUGGCGAAGGCGGCAUCCUGGACCGGCAUUGACGCUGAGGAGCGAAAGCUAGGGGAGCAAACGGG